rnacentral:lncRNA from 1 species
ACAUUGCAGGCAUCUCUAUUUAAGGUGUGAAAAAAGCAAUGGCUUCCUUUUUGUGUUUUCCAGGACUAACCUUGAUUUUUCAGGUACAGCUACAUUCAGGCCCUGAUUGGGUAUGACUCUCCUGGCUUCCUAGUGAUAAUGAUGUCUCAGAAACAAGUCUCUUUUGCUAAGGUCGUCACCAUGUUGGUCAGGCUGGUCUCGAACUUCUGACAUCAGGUGAUCCACCCGCCUUGGCCUCCCAAAGUGCUGGGAUUACAGGUGUGAGCCACCGUGUCCAGCCUGGCCUCACAAUAAUCUUAUGGAUCAGAGUCUCGCCCUGUCUCCCAGUCUUGGCACAAUCUUGGCUGACUGCAACCUCUGCUUCCUGGGUUCAAGCAAUUCUCCUGCCUCAGCCUCCUAAGUAGCUGGUACUACAAGCAUACCACCAAAUCCGGCUAAGUUUUGUGUUUUUAGUAGAGAUGGGGUUUCACUAUGUUGCCCAGCCUGGUCUCGAACUCCUGAGCUCAGGUGACCCUCCCGCCUCAGCCUCUCACAGUGCUGGGAUCACAAGUGUGAGCCACUAAACUCUGCCCAAAAUAUCUUAAUUCUCUCACAUUUUUGUUAAAUGUUUACUAGGAAAUUAAAGCAAGAUAUUUGAAUGUUUUGGUUUAUGCAAAC